rnacentral:rRNA from 1 species
UACGGGGGGGGGCUAGCGUUGUUCGGAUUUACUGGGCGUAAAGGGCGCGUAGGCGGCGUGACAAGUCACUUGUGAAAUCUCCGGGCUUAACUCGGAACGGUCAAGUGAUACUGUCGUGCUAGAGUGCAGAAAGGGGCAACUGGAAUUCUCGGUGUAGCGGUGAAAUGCGUAGAUAUCGAGAGGAACACCUGCGGCGAAGGCGGUUGCUGGGUCUCAACUGACGCUGAGGCGCGAAAGCGUGGGAGCGAACGGG